UUUGUAAAAAUAUGAUUUUUAGACCCAUAUGAAUAUUGUGACUGAUUGGUAGGCUAAAUGUGAUGUUAUAGAUGAUGAAAAUUGAGACUUGGACCUAGAACGGAAAGAAAUCGAUUUAUGGACGAGUAUGUCCUUUUCACAUUUGUGGUAUCGUGAGUUUCCAGGUUAGCUCGGGUUGGAGGCCGUCAGAGAUAUUAUCACCCUAUCGAGUUAACGUUGUCGGAGUAAGUAAACUCAAGUGAUUCGAGUCUAUGGCAUGUAUAGGGUUUUAAUGUGAGUAUGUAAUAUUAUGAUUUAGCCAAAGGCAUUGGCUUGUUAUUAAGGUAGUAUUAGUCAUGUAAAUUGGCCUAUGUCGGCUAAUGACAUUAUGGGCCCAUAUGAUUAUUCUUAUGCAUGUAUGUUAUUAUCUCUUGUGAUGUGGCUUACAACAUGUAUGCCUAGAGAUUGAAUUGAGAUUCAUUGAUGAGCCAAGAACUUAUGCGAGGAUUAAGUGAUUGGUAAAUAGUUAAUAAUGCUUCAUGAAUGGUUUGUGAUGUAAUGAUAGUUAUGUCUAGUAUGUGGUAAUGAUAUGGGCAAAUUCUAUAAUAUUUAUUGCAUAAGAAAAUAACUUGAGCAUAACAUGUUUGUAGAUGUUUAAGAGCUCAUUUAUGCCACGUUGUAUGUUAUUGGAUAA